UAUAAUGUGCCUGAAAAAGGAUUACUAUGAUAGAGUAAAUUAUGUAAAUUGAUUUUACCAUUAUAC
rnacentral:tRNA from 1 species